rnacentral:rRNA from 1 species
GUGACUGCGUACCUUUUGUAUAAUGGGUCAGCGACUUAUAUUCUGUAGCAAGGUUAACCGUCUAGGGGAGCCGCAGGGAAACCGAGUCUUAACGGGGCGUUAAGUUGCAGGGUAUAGACCCGAAACCCGGUGAUCUAGCCAUGGGCAGGUUGAAGGUUGGGUAACACUAACUGGAGGACCGAACCGACUAAUGUUGAAAAAUUAGCGGAUGACUUGUGGCUGGGGGUGAAAGGCCAAUCAAACCGGGAGAUAGCUGGUUCUCCCCGAAAGCUAUUUAGGUAGCGCCUCGUGAAGUCAUCUUCGGGGGUAGAGCACUGUUUCGGCUAGGGGGUCAUCCCGACUUACCAACCCGAUGCAAACUGCGAAUACCGAAGAAUGUUAUCACGGGAGACACACGGCGGGUGCUAACGUCCGUCGUGAAGAGGGAAACAACCCAGACCGCCAGCUAAGGUCCCGAAGUCAUGGUUAAGUGGGAAACGAAGUGGGAAGGCUCAGACAGCCAGGAUGUUGGCUUAGAAGCAGCCAUCAUUUAAAGAAAGCGUAAUAGCUCACUGGUCGAGUCGGCCUGCGCGGAAGAUGUAACGGGGCUAAACCAUGCACCGAAGCUGCGGCAGCGACAUUUAGAUGUUGUUGGGUAGGGGAGCGUUCUGUAAGCCGCAGAAGGUGGCCUGUGAGGGCUGCUGGAGGUAUCAGAAGUGCGAAUGCUGACAUAAGUAACGAUAAAGCGGGUGAAAAACCCGCUCGCCGGAAGACCAAGGGUUCCUGUCCAACGUUAAUCGGGGCAGGGUGAGUCGACCCCUAAGGCGAGGCCGACAGGCGUAGUCGAUGGGCAACAGGUUAAUAUUCCUGUACCCGGUGUGACUGCGAAGGGGGGACGGAGAAGGCUAGGCCAGCCGGGCGACGGUCGUCCCGGUUGAAGCGUGUAGGUGGGUGGUUUUGGAAAAUCCGGACCGCUGAUAACACUGAGGCGUGAUAACGAGGCACUACGGUGCUGAAGUGGUUGAUGCCCUGCUUCCAGGAAAAGCCUCUAAGCAUCAGGUCACAUUGGAUCGUACCCCAAACCGACACAGGUGGUCAGGUAGAGAAUACUCAGGCGCUUGAGAGAACUCGGGUGAAGGAACUAGGCAAAAUGGUGCCGUAACUUCGGGAGAAGGCACGCUGGCGCCAGGUGAAGGAACGAGCUUCCGGAGCCGAGGCCAGUCGCAGAUACCAGCUGGCUGCAACUGUUUAAUAAAAACACAGCACUGUGCAAACACGCAAGUGGACGUAUACGGUGUGACGCCUGCCCGGUGCUGGAAGGUUAAUUGAUGGGGUUAUCGCGUUGCGAGAAGCUCUUGAUCGAAGCCCCAGUAAACGGCGGCCGUAACUAUAACGGUCCUAAGGUAGCGAAAUUCCUUGUCGGGUAAGUUCCGACCUGCACGAAUGGCGUAAUGAUGGCCAGGCUGUCUCCACCCGAGACUCAGUGAAAUUGAACUCGCUGUGAAGAUGCAGUGUACCCGCGGCAAGACGGAAAGACCCCGUGAACCUUUACUAUAGCUUGACACUGAACCUUGAGCCUUGAUGUGUAGGAUAGGUGGGAGGCCUGGAAGUGCGGACGCCAGUCUGCACGGAGCCAACCUUGAAAUACCACCCUUGAAUGUUUGAUGUUCUAACGCAGGCCCGUGAUCCGGGUUGCGGACAGUGUCUGGUGGGUAGUUUGACUGGGGCGGUCUCCUCCCAAAGCGUAACGGAGGAGCACGAAGGUUAGCUAAUCACGGUCGGACAUCGUGAGGUUAGUGCAAUGGCAUAAGCUGGCUUGACUGCGAGAGUGACAGCUCGAGCAGGUGCGAAAGCAGGUCAUAGUGAUCCGGUGGUUCUGAAUGGAAGGGCCAUCGCUCAACGGAUAAAAGGUACUCCGGGGAUAACAGGCUGAUACCGCCCAAGAGUUCAUAUCGACGGCGGUGUUUGGCACCUCGAUGUCGGCUCAUCACAUCCUGGGGCUGAAGCAGGUCCCAAGGGUACGGCUGUU